AUUGAACGCUGGCGGCAGGCCUAACACAUGCAAGUCGAACGAGAGGCGGACGGGUGAGUAAUGUCUGGGAAACUGCCCGAUGGAGGGGGAUAACGACUGGAAACGGUAGCUAAUACCGCAUACCAUCGGAUGUGCCCAGAUGGGAGUAGCUAGUGGGUGGGGUAAUGGCUCACCAAGGCGACGAUCCCUAGCUGGUCCGAGAGGAGGACCAGCCACACUGGAACUGAGACACGGCCCAGACGCCUACGGGAGGCAGCAGUGGGGAAUAUUGCACAAUGGGCGCAAGUCUGAUGCAGCCAUGCCGCGUGUAUGAAGAAGGUCUUCGGGUUGUAAAGUACUUUCAGCGGGGAGGCGUUACCCGCAGAAGAAGCACCGGCUAACUCCGUGCCAGCAGCCGCGGUAAUUC
rnacentral:rRNA from 1 species